AAAAUAUACCUGAAACUGACUCCUCUUCUUGGUGAUCACGAAAUUCAGAGGCAGAAGCAAAAGGAAUACAGCAAUUGCAGUCAAGGCAGAUGGCCCUAGAAGCUGCCAGGAACUAGAUUAGUGCUGAAAGUGAUCCAGCAGCGCGCUGGCAAUUCCAGCCAUUCCUGUUUCUUUCCAUGUUCUUGGCUGUGUUAAGGAGGACAUCUUGUGGCUGGCUUAAGCAACAAUUUCUUCAGAGGAGUCCUCUUUCCUCACUGGCCACAAGUCAUCCACCCCCAAGGACUGCUGAGAGCCUUUCCAAAGAAGCCUGGAGAACACACAGACUGCAGUCAGAGAACCACCAGUACGUGAUUUUGGAAAGAAAAGAGCUUCUGGCUUCUGGACAGUGAUUCUGAUGGGAGAGAAAACAUGGGUGAUGUUUCUAUAUAGGAAAGUGCAUGUGUCAGAUGAAUAGAAUUCCGUUCUGUGCUCCCCCAGAAAAAGCAGAGUUACCCCCACCCCUCAAUUCACUGA